rnacentral:rRNA from 1 species
GACGAACGCUGGCGGCGUGCCUAAUACAUGCAAGUCGAACGCUGAAGAGAGGAGCUUGCUCUUCUUGGAUGAGUUGCGAACGGGUGAGUAACGCGUAGGUAACCUGCCUUGUAGCGGGGGAUAACUAUUGGAAACGAUAGCUAAUACCGCAUAACAAUGGAUGACACAUGUCAUUUAUUUGAAAGGGGCAAUUGCUCCACUACAAGAUGGACCUGCGUUGUAUUAGCUAGUAGGUGAGGUAAUGGCUCACCUAGGCGACGAUACAUAGCCGACCUGAGAGGGUGAUCGGCCACACUGGGACUGAGACACGGCCCAGACUCCUACGGGAGGCAGCAGUAGGGAAUCUUCGGCAAUGGGGGCAACCCUGACCGAGCAACGCCGCGUGAGGGAAGAAGGUUUUCGGAUCGUAAAGCUCUGUUGUAAGUCAAGAACGGGUGUGAGAGUGGAAAGUUCACACUGUGACGGUAGCUGACCAGAAAGGGACGGCUAACUACGUG